ACGUAGGUGGCAAGCGUUAUCCGGAUUUAUUGGGCGUAAAGCGAGCGCAGGCGGUCUUUUAAGUCUAAUGUGAAAGCCUUCGGCUCAACCGAAGAAGUGCAUUGGAAACUGGGAGACUUGAGUGCAGAAGAGGACAGUGGAACUCCAUGUGUAGCGGUGAAAUGCGUAGAUAUAUGGAAGAACACCAGUGGCGAAGGCGGCUGUCUGGUCUGUAACUGACGCUGAGGCUCGAAAGCAUGGGUAGCGAACAG
rnacentral:rRNA from 1 species